CGGCGACCGGGGGAUGGGUGAGUAACGCGUAUGCAACUUACCUACUACUUUGGGAUAGCUCGUUGAAAGACGAAUUAAUACCUUAUAAUACAGGGACUCCGCAUGGAGAUAUUUGUUAAAGAUUCAUUGGUAGUAGAUGGGCAUGCGUUCCAUUAGUUAGUAGGUGAGGUAAAGGCUCACCUAGGCGACGAUCUCUAGCUGGUCUGAGAGGAUGAUCAGCCACAUUGGGACUGAGACACGGCCCAGACUCCUACGGGAGGCAGCAGUAGGGAAUAUUGCACAAUGGGGGAAACCCUGAUGCAGCCAUGCCGCGUGUGUGAAGAAGGCCUUCGGGUUGUAAAGCACUUUCGGAGGGGAGGAACAAAUGACGUUACCCUCAGAAGAAGCACCGGCUAACUCCGUGCCAGCAGCCGCGGUAAUACGGAGGGUGCAAGCGUUAAUCGGAAUAACUGGGCGUAAAGGGCAUGCAGGCGGUCGGACAAGUAGGAUGUGAAAUCCUGGGGCUCAACCUCAGAACUGCAUUCUAAACUGUUCGACUAGAGUAUUGCAGGGGGAGACGGAAUUUCAGGUGUAGCGGUGGAAUGCGUAGAUAUCUGAAAGAACACCAAAGGCGAAGGCAGUCUCCUGGGCAAAUACUGACGCUCAUAUGCGAAAGCGUGGGUAGCAAACAGGAUUAGAUACCCUGGUAGUCCACGCCGUAAACGAUGUCAAUUAGGAGCUUGGACUUAAGUCUGGGUUUCGUAGCAAACGCAAUAA
rnacentral:rRNA from 1 species